UUGCACGCGCAUCGUUAUCGUGAUGGUCUCCACAACAUUCUGAAAUAAUUUCGCCAUCUUGUUGCGAAAGAACCUUAGGCGGAGCAGUUGUGCCAAUCAGAGCAGCAUCGUGGAAAUGUCACGCAUGGAGUCGACGCUGAUGCCAAUAGUGCAAGUGCCGGUCACAUCGAUGAUGUAGCGCGCGAAGAUAUCCUUCGUUUUCAUCAACCUCUGCUCCUCCGACAAUUAUGAAUUUGUCGAAAUCGGUAGCAUAGCCCGAUAUCAGUCUCAACAUACUUUUCAUUUUGCUGGACUUGAGGCUGGACUCAUAAUAGUGCACAUCUCCCGCUAUUUAUUUUCGAGGAGGAAAAAGGGGCUUUGAUUGAACAAUAAUUUUAGAUCCUCCCGGAUAAAGCUGCGAUGAUCCGGAAACAUGAUUGAAGUGCUUGAGCGUAAUGAGCUCAUGUGGUUGCAGUAUUAUACUAUAUUGCUGUAUACUACUAGUAUUGCCGGCGUAGUCAUAUC